UACGUAGGGUGCAAGCGUUAAUCGGAAUUACUGGGCGUAAAGGGCGCGUAGGCGGCCUUCUAAGUCAGACGUGAAAUCCCCAGGCUUAACUUGGGAACUGCGUCUGAUACUGGGAGGCUUGAGUGCGGGAGAGGGAUGUGGAAUUCCAGGUGUAGCGGUGAAAUGCGUAGAUAUCUGGGGGAACACCGGUGGCGAAGGCGGCAUCCUGGACCGACACUGACGCUGAGGCGCGAAAGCUAGGGGAGCAAACGGG
rnacentral:rRNA from 1 species